AGGCCAUGACACAUGCACUGACCAACUUAUUCGUAGUCCUGUGGUUGGACAUGUAGAAACGGGUCCACGAAGGUAACCACUGCCCGCAACUCCACCACCUCGGGCGGCACACACACGCACACUCACCCCACCCAACCAACCAAACACCCAUCCACCCAUCCCCAAUGCCCUACUCCACGUGUACCAAACGUACCAGCGCUGCCUUCCCCCCGCCGGCCUCCCCUCCUCCCCCGGCCUCCACGCCUGAACACCCCAACCCCAGACCUCGCAGCGGUCUGCAUCUCCCGCGACGACCUGCAUCCUCCACGCCUGCUUCCCAUCCCCCCACGCGCCGCCGCCCCUCACCUCUGCGGCCUCUCGAAGCCCUGUCCUGCAGCAGCGCUCGUCGGCGGGGCCGUGGGGCUGGGGCGUGUGCAGCGCCAGAGCCGCCGGUGAUGGGGUGCGCAGGUGCAGGUGUUGAGGAGGGCGGGAAGGCGCCGGCCGCCAGUGAAACUGGAUACGCCAGUGCGUCAGCGGCGCAGGCGAACCUAGUGGCAGGUACGGGCGGCGCGGGCUGAGGAGGUGCAGGGGAAGAGCAGGAGCACAAGAAUGGCAUACGUGAGGGAAUGAGCGGCGGCGGGUAAAGGAGUGAGGAUGGGAUCAGCUGCAGGCAAGUGCACUGGUGUGUGUGUGUGUGUGUGUUUGUUUCCUGCGGCCCCGUGGCCCCAGCCGCGUAUCGCGGCACGGAUUGUUACUUCCAUACCUGAACGUUGGAUGGUGAAGCCGCUGAGGCCAUGACACAUGCACUGACCAACUUAUUCGUAGUCCUGUGGUUGGACAUGUAGAAACGGGUCCACGAAGGUAACCACUGCCGGCAACUCCACCACCUCGGGCGGCACACACACGCACACUCACCCCACCCAACCAACCAAACACCCAUCCACCCAUCCCCAAUGCCCUACUCCACGUGUACCAAACGUACCAGCGCUGCCUUCCCCCCGCCGGCCUCCCCUCCUCCCCCGGCCUCCACGCCUGAACACCCCA
rnacentral:lncRNA from 1 species